GUUAAAUCAUAAACAACUUCUCCUAAAACACCUAAAUUGUGUGAAUCGAGUGAAAGAUCUACUAAAGAAAAAGUUCUGGGUAGGUAAAAGUGGAGAUAGUUGGGCCAUAUAUCGAAAUUGGACACUAGAUUGGAAUAGAAAAACCCCAUAUCUCUCCUCCCACAUACGGAAGGAAUACAUUUUGGAUCCCUAAUCUCCAUAUAGCGAAAGCGAGUUUACAGUCUUGCUAACCUUUUUUUCUAUUAAAUUUAGCAUAUGUGAUAAAAUUAGGAUGUGAAACUGAUCGGAUCCAUUGGUUUCAAAUUCGUUUUUACUAAAGGCGGACAUGGUCAUCCAAACCAUGUGUAACAUGCUCACUUCUCUAGCGAAUAAAUAUGUUCUCUUUGGCGAUAUGGGGAAUAGAUGAUCCAUUUGGCACUCAGGAUGAAAUCUUACAACUUGCCAGCAAAUUGGGCAUCUCCAUAACUAUUGGUCUGGCUCAUCAAGUUGUUGUUGUUAGAUCAGAUCCUUGGUUACAUAAGCAUUAUGAGUAUAGUAGCAACACUUUCUCUAAAUGAUGUUAGUGUGUACCUGGGAGCAGCUCUGAUUGUUGAAUGUCUUCACAAUUUUAGACCGAAUGUCAUUAUUACUUCUCGAGUUGCUGAUGCUUCCUUAUUCUUAACCCCAAUCAUAUGACACUAGAUCCCUUUUUCAUUCCAAUACUCCUGGCACUGACAUUUAUUCAUUCACUUGUAUAUUAUAUAAUCCUUUUUUUAUAAUUUAGAGUAACUUUCUCUCUGUGAGUAACAACUGAUGAAAACGACUCGCCUUUUCAUAUCUUAAGCAAGUGAAAAUUGCUAGUGUUAAGUUAUUAAAACUUGCUUAAGAAGUCAAAAUCAUGUCCAACAAAAUUAGCUUUCUUUUAUCAUUUUCUUUUGACUUGUCAAAGUACAUCAAUUCUUAUGGUGGAAGCAUAGAAAAAAACAUUUAGACACCUGCAAUUUUCCGAUGUUAUAAUACUGUUAUUUGAAUUCAUGUUCAUAUGGGGGAUAUUUCUUUGUUUCAUGAGCUUUUCUACAUGCCAUCUCCCGGUGCUAAUCUUAUACAACAAUAAACUUAUGGAAUGAGUUGGUGAACCAUUAUUUUUGUGUGUGAAAGAUAAUCAAAGUUGAAAAACUAGGCAGAAAGGAUGCCUAAUCUUUAUACGUUUAAACUCUGUAAGGUGUGAAUGUGGUUUUAUUCCGCUACAUUUUGAAUGUUGUUGCCAUGGUGUUAUUAUUUUUAUGUGAUAUUAUUAUCCCUGUUCAACUGAAAGAGUGAUUUCUUGUAUCAUUGUUUGGAAGAUCGAUUACGCAUAUUCUUGUAAAUACUGCUUGCUUGGCUUGAAUUAUGUGGUUCACAAUAGAUCUUAACCACAACUUUAUUUGCAUUUUAAAAUUUUAUGCAGUUUACUUCAACAACUUAUAUUUGGAUUUAUUAAAGAUUUUUUUUUUCCAACUGUCUAAUGAGGUUUAACUUGUUUCCUGCAUAAUAGAUAUUUCUCUAGCUCUUUUUAAAUUUGAUGAGAUAUGCUAUUAAAGGAGCAAACAUACUUGAUAAUAAAGUUGCAUUAAGCAUGCAUGAUUUUGGUGCAUCGAAAAAGAUUGUUGAAUCAAUUGGUAUUAACUUUUGGAAAUCUUUGUCUUCUUUUGGUCUUGGUAGUUCGAGUAGUCAUUUAUAGCUUACUUUGGGCAUUCCUUCAAGCUAUUGUUACUGGUGCCUCGCCAAUAAAGGGUACCUCAUAGGUCAUAAGGAAUGAUUCUUGAAUUUAUUUUUCUCCACAAUGAGUGAGUAGAAUUAUUUUUAUAGGGAUAAUUUUUGAGCUCUGUUGUGUUUCUGUUUGGGGAAGAAAUGGGGGAGGAGGGAACAUUUCCAAUCUAUUUUGUUUGAAGAAAAAGAGAGGAUAUUAUUUCUUUAAAAGAAAAUAUCAUGCCAGGUGAGGUAUACAUGAGAUAUGUCUUCAUUUGAUAACCACCGGCGGUUAGGAUUAGGAUUGAAAGUGUACUACUUUUCAAAGGACGUGGAUUAUUAGUGCUCCAUGUGAAACAACUAGGAUCGUUUUGAACCUAAAUCCAAAUAGUGGACUAUUUUAGGAUUUUUUUUCUCUUCCCGCUAUCUGUUCCUUAUAUUUGUAUUAUAGUAGUUUUGUUUAAGUCCACUAGAAUACCUUAAUCUUUUGAUGUAGAUGUAAUCCAUUUUUUUAAAAUCUUGCAAUAGAAUUAGAUAAUCAGAUUUUCUUAAAAUUGUUACUUGUUAGUAUGUAAUUGUCUUGAUUGUAAUGAUCUUCAUUAUGAAUUUAUUUCCACGCUGUCUUAAAUAGUGAAAUAUUCUUGAUGAUAAAAGUGAGAUAAAAUGCUAUCUUCUAAAUUAAUAAAUAUGGAGUUCCAUGAGUACUUUUGAAUCACUUUUCUCUUUUAUAGUAUUUUAAGAAAAGAAAUCGCAAGGUUAAAUUAGAUAUCUUGUCUAAUUGAUUUUAGCUCCAAAUAUAUAGCUUGCAAGUUCUAUUGAUAAAGAGAAUCAGUUGAAGGAAAGAGUAUCCCAGGGAAGAUGGAAACAGUUUGUUCCUUCCUGCUCAUGUAAGUAAUCUGUCUACACCUGAUUAUUUAAAAGAUCACGCAAGAACCUAUCCUUGAAGAAAGUAUGGAGCAGAUAUAAGUGACUGAAAUGUUUAUGAACAAGUUGAAGAAUAAGAGAGACCCAUUCCUUUUUUUAGUUAUUUAAAGAUGUCCCCUUCUGCACAUGUCACAAUUCAUUUUUUCACUUCUGUAAUGAGUUACACAAUUCGAUGUUUUGCAAGUAGGAUUAGUAUGUUCUUUUGGUGGUGAUGCUUAGUUCUUUGUAAUGAACUACAAUUUUUUAUAUGAAUAUUGAUUACUUUGUUAUUUUCAAAUAUAUUGAUAUAUACAGAGUGUGUG